CAUGGCCGCGGGAUUGUGCCAGCAGCCGCGGUGAUACAGAGGGUGCAAGCGUUAAUCGGAAUUACUGGGCGUAAAGCGAGCGUAGGUGGCUUGAUAAGUCAGAUGUGAAAGCCCCGGGCUUAACCUGGGAACGGCAUCUGAUACUGUUAGGCUAGAGUAGGUGAGAGGAAGGUAGAAUUUCCAGGUGUAGCGGUGAAAUGCGUAGAGAUCUGGAGGAAUACCGAUGGCGAAGGCAGCCUUCUGGCAUCAUACUGACACUGAGGUUCGAAAGCGUGGGUAGCAAACAGGAUUAGAUACCCUGGUAGUCCACGCCGUAAACGAUGUCUACUAGUCGUUGGGUCCCUUGAGGACUUAGUGACGCAGCUAACGCAAUAAGUAGACCGCCUGGGGAGUACGGCCGCAAGGUUAAAACUCAAAUGAAUUGACGGGGGCCCGCACAAGCGGUGGAGCAUGUGGUUUAAUUCGAUGCAACGCGAAGAACCUUACCUGGUCUUGACAUAUCUAGAAUCCUGCAGAGAUGCGGGAGUGCCUUCGGGAAUUAGAAUACAGGUGCUGCAUGGCUGUCGUCAGCUCGUGUCGUGAGAUGUUGGGUUAAGUCCCGCAACGAGCGCAACCCUUGUCCUUAGUUACCAGCGGUUUGGCCGGGAACUCUAAGGAUACUGCCAGUGACAAACUGGAGGAAGGCGGGGACGACGUCAAGUCAUCAUGGCCCUUACGACCAGGGCUACACACGUGCUACAAUGGUAGGUACAGAGGGCAGCUACACAGCGAUGUGAUGCGAAUCUCAAAAAGCCUAUCGUAGUCCAGAUUGGAGUCUGCAACUCGACUCCAUGAAGUAGGAAUCGCUAGUAAUCGCGGAUCAGAAUGCCGCGGUGAAUACGUUCCCGGGCCUUGUACACACCGCCCGUCACACCAUGGGAGUUGAUUGCACCAGAAGUGGUUAGCCUAACCUUUUAGGAAGGCGAUCACCACGGUGUGGUUGAUGACUGGG
rnacentral:rRNA from 1 species